AUCCCUUGCCCCUGUCACUGGGUUGACAACUGGAAAGAGAGGAAGAGCGAGAGGAUGUUCAAGGUAUUUAUUCUCCAAGCUCUGGUUUCUCCUUGGCCUGGCUUCAUUUCUCAACAAAAGGUCAAGUCUCCUCUCCAGGUGGCUGUCUCCAUAUGACUGCCUUUAAGAAUUGUUAUAAUUGCUGUAUCCACUCACCCUUCAGGGGUGCAAACAGUCCUGGAGUUCACCCUGCCACAUCUUUGCAAAUAUUAAACUGUCUUGAGUUAUCCUAAUUUGAAAGUGCCAUCUGUUUCCUGCUGACAUCCUGACUAACAUGCACAUGAUCAGAUCUCAAAAAUGAGUAGCACCAUGUUGCUCCUGAUGAUUGAAUAGCUUGGUUUGAAUAGUUCAGAAAUGAAUUGAAAGAGGUUCCUUCUGUGGACAAGUCACAGCCAGUGUGGCAAAGCUCUGCUGCAGUGGAUUGAUCUUCCAGUUUGAUUCUAUUACCAUGGUUUCUAAAAGAAGCCGGUCAGCCUCCAUUUGAGAUCAUCAUUGCAGCUAAAAGAGGCACGGUUUUGCUCUGUUGCUCAGGCUGGAGUGCACUGGUGCUGUAACAGCUCGCGGUAGCCUUAAACGCAAGGGCUCAUGCACCCAUCUCAGCCUCUCAAACAGGUGGAACUACAGAGAAUUAAUCAGAAUUUGCUGUUGGCAGUAGGGAGAACACAACAACAGAAAAUAUGUAUUCUUGAAAAAAUACUUAAAACCCUGGAUCCUGUGCCACCCUGGUCCAUGUGA
rnacentral:lncRNA from 1 species